UCAAGCAAUAAGGGCACAGGGCGGAUGCCUUGGCACUAAGAGCCGAUGAAAGACGUGAUAAGCUGCGAUAAGCUUCGGGGAGGAGCAAAUAUCCCGUGAUCCGGAGAUGUCUGAAUGGGGAAACCCACAUGAGCAAACCUCAUGUAUCCAUACGCCAAUCCAUAACGUAUGGAAGGGAACCCGGGGAACUGAAACAUCUAAGUACCCGGAGGAAAAGAAAGAAAACUCGAUUCCGUAAGUAGCGGCGAGCGAACGCGGAGGAGCCUAAACCGGAAUGCGUGCAUUCCGGGGUUACGGACUGCAUUUAAGAUUCUUUGAAGCUAACAGAACGGUUUUGGGAAAGCCGGCCACAGAGGGUGAAAGCCCCGUACGUGAAAGCUGAUGAGACUGAGCAGGAUCCAGAGUACCACGAGACACGUGGAACCUUGUGGGAAAUCAGGGGGACCACCCCCUAAGGCUAAAUACUACUUAGUGACCGAUAGCGCAUAGUACUGUGAAGGAAAGGUGAAAAGGACCCCGGGAGGGGAGUGAAAGAGAACCUGAAACCCUGUGUUUACAAGCUGUCGGAGCACGAUAAGUGCGACGGCGUACUUUUUGUAGAACGGUCCGGCGAGUUAUGAUACGCGGUAAGGUUAAGGACUUAAGGUCCGGAGCCGAAGCGAAAGCGAGUGUUAAGAGCACGAGGAAUCACGUAUCAUAGACCCGAAACCGGGUGAUCUAUCCAUGUCCAGGAUGAAGCUGCCGUAAGAGGUAGUGGAGGUCCGAACACACAUCCGUUGAAAAGGGUGGUGAUGAGGUGUGGAUAGGGGAGAAAUUCCAAUCGAACCCGGAGAUAGCUGGUUCUCCUCGAAAUAGCUUUAGGGCUAGCCUCGAUACAGAUUUGCGGAGGUAGAGCACUGAAUUUCCUAGGGGGCGUCAAAGCCUACCGAAGAAUAUCAAACUCCGAAUGCCGCGUAAUCGAUUAUCGGGAGUCAGACUGCACGAGAUAAGUUGGGCGGUCAAAAGGGAAAGAGCCCAGACCUUCAGUUAAGGUCCCCAAGUGCGCGUUAAGUGGAAAAGGAUGUGGGAUUUCGAAGACAACCAGGAUGUUGGCUCAGAAGCAGCCAUCCAUUCAAAGAGUGCGUAAUAGCUCACUGGUCGAGAGGUCCUGCGCCGAAAAUGUCCGGGGCUGAAACGCGCCACCGAAACUAAGGAACCGAAAGGUUGGUAGAGGAGCAUUGCAUGCGGAACGAAGCAGUACCGUAAGGAGCUGUGGACUGCAUGGAAGAGAGAAUGCCGGAAUGAGUAGCGAGAAUAAGGUGAGAAUCCUUAUGGCCGAAUAUCCAAGGUUUCCAGAGUAAAGCUGAUCUGCUCUGGGUAAGUCGGGGCCUAAGGCGAGGACGAGAGUCGUAGCCGAUGGACAACAGGUGGAGAUUCCUGUACUGCGGUAUGACAGAACUGUGGGGACACGUAAGGAAAGCGGAAGCCGGGAAUGGAAAGCCCGGUGCAAGCGGGGUACCAGUCACUUUGGCAAAUCCGGGUGGCAAUGGGAAGCCGUGAUGCGGAGCGAAAUAAAGUAGCGAAGUCCGUGAGCCAUGCGUCAAGAAAAGCCGCUAUCGUUUAUACCGUACCCGUACCGUAAACCGACACAGGUGGAUGAGGAGAGAAUCCUAAGGCCGGCGGAAGAAGCAUUGUCAAGGAACUCGGCAAAAUGACCCCGUAACUUCGGGAGAAGGGGUGCCUGCGAGAGCAGGCCGCAGAGAAUAGGCUCAAGCAACUGUUUAGCAAAAACACAGGUCUAUGCGAAACCGAAAGGUGAGGUAUAUGGGCUGACGCCUGCCCGGUGCUGGAAGGUUAAGAGGAGAGGUUAGCGCAAGCGAAGCUUUGAAUUUAAGCCCCAGUAAACGGCGGCCGUAACUAUAACGGUCCUAAGGUAGCGAAAUUCCUUGUCGGGUAAGUUCCGACCC
rnacentral:rRNA from 1 species